GUGGGGAAUAUUGGGCAAUGGGCGAAAGCCUGACCCAGCAACGCCGCGUGAAGGAAGAAGGUUUUCGGAUCGUAAACUUCUAUCCUUGGUGAAGAUAAUGACGGUAGCCAAGAAGGAAGCCACGGCUAACUACGUGCCAGCAGCCGCGGUAAUACGUAGGGGGCAAGCGUUGUCCGGAAUGAUUGGGCGUAAAGGGCGCGUAGGCGGCCCGGUAAGUCUGAAGUGAAAGUCCUGCUUUUAAGGUGGGAAUUGCUUUGGAUACUGUCGGGCUUGAGUGCAGGAGAGGUAAGCCGAAUUCCAGGUGUAGCGGUGAAAUGCGUAGAGAUCGGGAGGAACACCAGUGGCGAAGGCGGCUUACUGGACUGUAACUGACGAUGAGGCGCGAAAGUGUGGGGAGCAAACAGGAUUAGAAACCCUAGUAGUCC
rnacentral:rRNA from 1 species